CGCCCGGCAGUUCAUCCAUCUUAAAGAUCAAUCAGUAGUACUUCAUUCCUUUUUAUAUCCAGCCUUGAAUUUCUUAUUGGCUUGCCAUAGCCAGCAGGGAUAAAGUCUGUAGUGAUAUAUCAUUCAAGAGUCUUCAAGAUCUAAAGGAUAGACUGGAACAAGGAAGGCGCUGAGCUUAAACUGUCAAGUUCGGUGGACACUGGCAGCGCGCUGAUCUGAAGAAACGUUUUGUGAUUUUCGGCGCUAGCACAUCAUCUGGAGGUGUAAGUCCGAAGGUCCGGACCCAGCUGAAAGAAAUGGGACGCCGUUCAUCAGAUACUGAGGAAGAAAGCAGAAGCAAGAGAAAAAAGAAACACCAUAGACAGUCAUCAUCGAGCAGUUCUUCAGAUGGUAGAACAUACAGCCGAAAGAAAGGAGGAAGGAAGUCAAGAUCAAAGUCAAGAUCUUGGUCCAGGGAUCUUCAGCCUCAUUCACAUUCUUAUGACAGAAGACGCAGACAUCGAUCAAGCAGUAGCUCUUCUUAUGGCUCUAGAAGAAAACGAGGUCGAAGUCGUUCAAGGGGUCGAGGGAAAUCCUAUAGAGUUCAGAGGUCUAGGUCAAAAAGCAGAACAAGAAGGUCCAGGUCAAGACCUCGUCCACGUUCUCAUAGUCGAAGCAGUGAAGGGUCCAGUCACAGAAAAACCCAUAGUCGGUCUUGGGAUAGAGAACGUCGUAAAGGGAGAGAGAAAGAGAAGAGAGAAAAGGAGAAGGAUAAAGGCAAGGACAAGGAGUUACACAACAUCGAACGCGGGGAAUCUAGAAACAUCAAAGCUGGAUUAGAACACCUGCCACCAGCUGAACAGGCCAAAGCCAGACUACAGCUCGUUCUUGAAGCUGCUGCAAAAGCUGAUGAAACAUUGAAAGCCAAAGAAAGAAAUGAGGAAGAAGCGAAGAGAAAAAAGGAGGAAGACCAAGCCACCCUGGUAGAACAAGUAACAAGAGUAAAAGAAAUUAAAGGUAUUGAAAGUGAUUCUUUUGUUCAGCAGUCAUUCAGAUCAAGUAAAGAAGUCAAAAAGUCAGUGGAACUUACUGAAGUGAAACAUGCAAUCUCAACAUCAGGACCAGCAACAGCAGUUGCUGAUUUACCCAGUAUUGAGAAAGAAAUAGAUGCAAGCAGCAUCCCUACUGCUAUCAAGUACCAAGAUGACAAUUCUCUGGCCCAUCCAAUUUUAUUUGUUGAGAAAGCUGAUGCUAAAGAAAAGUGGUUCAAGAGGUUAAUUGCGCUCCGACAAGAAAGACUAAUGGGCAGUCCUAUAGCCUAAGAAAUACACAUGUUGUUAAAUUGACAGUAACAUUGGGAAAUUUAAGUUUUUAAAUCCCAACAUUAACUUUUUACUCAUAAAAAGGAUUUAGUUAUUAUAUUAAAAGGUAAUCUUAUUUCAUUCUUCUCUCAUAUAGGCUUGAAUAUUUGUUGAUUUAGGCUUGAAUAUUUGAUUUGAACUAAAUCAUAUAUUGUAAAUAAAACUAGUAUAAAAUUUAAGAAUGCAUGGAAAUGUUAUACUGUUAAUAAAGCUAAUCAUUAAA